rnacentral:rRNA from 1 species
AUUGAACGCUGGCGGCAGGCCUAACACAUGCAAGUCGAACGGUAACAGGAAGAAGCUUGCUUCUUUGCUGACGAGUGGCGGACGGGUGAGUAAUGUCUGGGAAACUGCCUGAUGGAGGGGGAUAACUACUGGAAACGGUAGCUAAUACCGCAUAACGUCGCAAGACCAAAGAGGGGGACCUUCGGGCCUCUUUCCAUCGGAUGUGCCCAGAUGGGAUUAGCUAGUAGGUGGGGUAACGGCUCACCUAGGCGACGAUCCCUAGCUGGUCUGAGAGGAUGACCAGCCACACUGGAACUGAGACACGGUCCAGACUCCUACGGGAGGCAGCAGUGGGGAAUAUUGCACAAUGGGCGCAAGCCUGAUGCAGCCAUGCCGCGUGUAUGAAGAAGGCCUUCGGGUUGUAAAGUACUUUCAGCGGGGAGGAAGGGAGUAAAGUUAAUACCUUUACUCAUUGACGUUACCCGAAGAAGAAGCACCGGCUAACUCCGG